GACAGAGGUGCCAAGCGUUAGGCGGAAUCACUGGGCUUAAAGCGUGUGUAGGUGGAUUUGUAAGUACCUUGUGAAAUCCCAUGGCUCAACCAUGGAACUGCUCGGUAUACUGCGAAUCUUGAGCCACUUAGGGGCUACCGGAACAAAUGGUGGAGCGGUGAAAUGCGUAGAUAUCAUUUGGAACGCCAAUGGUGAAAACAGGUAGCUGGGAGUGUGCUGACACUGAGACACGAAAGCCAGGGGAGCGAACAGG
rnacentral:rRNA from 1 species